UAAACGGUUAUGCAGCAGAGCUCUGUCCUCCGAAGAUUCAAAACCAAAUAGGUGCGAAGAUCAAUGAGAUAGUUAGGAAAGGGUGGCCAGUUUUGAUAGGUGUUUAGAGUAGAAUUUAUAGGCUUAAAUGCACCCCUUACAUGUUAAUGUUUAUAUCAAGUUGUUGAGGAUUGCAAGUUAUGGCUCGUAGAAGCGGACAGAUUUUGGGUACCGUUCAACAAGUACAUGAUUCUUUUGUCGUUGGAAUAGUCUUGAGCAUAUCCUUGUCGUUUAGAAAGAAUUUAUAUAUUAUUUGUUAGUAGUACUGAUUUUAUUAAAAAAAAA
rnacentral:misc_RNA from 1 species